rnacentral:lncRNA from 1 species
AUUCGUGCAAUGUUUUGAGAAGUAGAAAGUGCUAGGCACGUAGGCGUUCAGGAGACAGUCACGGUACUCGUUUCCAGACAGAAGUCAUGAGGAACAAGAGGGAAGGUGCUUUCCCGUGUGCAGCGCUUGGGGAGACUCACACAGACAGAGGAUCUGGCAUGACAGGGAAAGGAGGAAAUGGCUUCUGUUAAUCUCUCCUUCAGCUUCUCCCGCCCUUCCCAUGCACUCUUCCUGUUUCCCUUUCCAGUUCUCACGGUGACUCAAGUUCUCUGUAAAAAUGUGGCCUAUCUUGCACUGGAUGGAAGACAAGGAAGAGAUUCUCAGUCAAACCUGCCUGGUUUCCUCAAACUCUGUUUAAUACAAAUGCCAAAGUUUGACACAUUCUAACCACUUUGCUUUCUUUGGCAACUCCAACUUUGACAAGAGAGUAAGAAUGUCUCCUCCUUGACAGGAACAACGUGUGAAAUGAAAGACCUCAGGUGCUGUAUUGGCUCUUGACAGCUCUUCAGAAGAAAAUACCUCCUGCCUGUUCUGUUCAGUCCUGGUGCAGGUGGUCCUGGACAACACUUUGAAAAAUGCUGGGGCAGAAACAAGCCAGCAAGCAUAUGGGAUUCAUCUGCUGUGAGUGAUAAUUUAUCUAGUUUCUAAAAAUAGUGUUAUAGGCUGGACUGUGUCCCCUUCCUGUGCCCCGCCGCCAUGCAUAUAUGGACGCCUAGUACCUCAGAAUGUGACUGUAUUUGGAAACAGGGCCUUUGAAGAAGUAAUUAAGUUAAAAUGAGGUCAUUAGGGUGGGCAGUAAUACAGUAUAACUGGUGUCCUUAUAAGAAGAGAUUAGGACACAGAUGCACACAGAGGGAAGACCAUAUGAACACAGAGGGAGAAGACAGCCACCUGCAAGCCACAGAGAGAGCCCUUCAAAGAAACCAACCCUGCAGACAAUUUGAUCUCAGGUUUCUGGCCUCCAGAAUUGUGAGAAAAUAAAUUUCUGUUGUUUAAGUCACCCA